rnacentral:lncRNA from 1 species
CGUGCUAUCCGCCCGAAUAAGCACGGAUUGGUCAGAUGCCUUCAUGUCUCGUUCUGUCCCUCCCUCCUCCGCGCGUGCACACGUUACGUUUCACUGUUGCCGGAAAUAUUCAGCACACUCCUCUGCAGAAAUAGGGAGUUGCAGGAGAAGACGUUCAUUUGGUUACAAUGGCAGAGAAAAUGCAGCCAGCGUUACUUGUAACAGCUCACCCCGCUAAAAAGGCAAGGAAAAGAAAGACUGAGGUUGAAAAGGCUGCAACAGAAAAGGCUCUGGAUAAAGAAAGAAGUCGGACCGAGUCAACAUCUGUGCGGCGUUUGAGUGGUGGAGACAACUGGGGCAUGUGAAGGGCCUGAAAAGUGAUGCAGAGGUUGCUCUUUUUCUGUUGGACAGGAUCCACUUUCCUCUGCCGGAUCAGCGUUUAUUCUCCACCUGUGCUUCCUUGUCCUUUAUGUGCUUCACAUCCUUCUGCAGUCAUGUCUCAAGACAAAAAGCACUGGGAGCCAGUGACCACAGCUCAGGACAGGGUUUCAAUAUUUGCAAGUCUGACACCACUGGAUCUUUUUUGAAGAGGACUGGGAAAAUCUUCCAGCCAUGUUUGUGGCAACAGAAAAAGUGUUGUUUUUGACCAGAAGUCGGAACAUCUCCAGUGAAGCUUGCAGUGACAAAACCAGCUGGUUUUUUUUUUUUAACAAGACCUCGUGCCAAACCAAAACAGGUAUUUCAAACCAACAGAUGAUCUUUUUCUGACUGAAGUGUUUUUGUUUGUUUUUUUUGUGCCUGAAUCUUAC